CUACGGGACGCUGCAGUGAGGAAUAUUGCACAAUGGGGGGAACCCUGAUGCAGCAACGCCGCGUGGAGGAUGACGCAUUUCGGUGUGUAAACUCCUUUUAUAUGUCAAGAAAAUGACUGUAGCAUAUGAAUAAGCACCGGCUAACUCCGUGCCAGCAGCCGCGGUAAUAGCGGAGGGUGCAAGCGUUACUCGGAAUCACUGGGCGUAAAGGACGCGUAGGCGGGUUGGAAAGUCAGGUGUGAAAUCCUACAGCUUAACUGUAGAACUGCACUUGAAGCUUCUAAUCUAGAGUAUGGGAGGGGGAGAUGGAAUUAGUGGUGUAGGGGUAAAAUCCGUAGAUAUCACUAGGAAUACCUAAAGCGAAGGCGAUCUCCUGGAACAUUACUGACGCUAAGGCGUGAAAGCGUGGGGAGCAAACAGGAUUAGAUACCCCCGUAGUC
rnacentral:rRNA from 1 species